AGACAUCUCUUUAUCCAGUUCUCUGCUCUCAUUAUAUGCAUCCCCAAACCUUCUUCUCUCAGGAGAUUUCCAUGGACAGAUCUGGCUUUCAAGCUCUGAAACAGAAUGUUCCUAUAAUGAAGCAGAUUGACCUGCAAAAUGACAGGAGAACAACUGGGAGAACUCAAGCAACCACCAAAACUGUUUCUGUCUGGACUACUACCGCUGAGGAAGGAAUUGCUGCAUUUGGAGGGAGCCUUUGUGUGCUGCAGAAAUGUACCAUGAAAGACUAAGCCCUGGAUAGACACUGUCCCUUCAGUUUGAGCCCCAGAAAAAAACAUGCAUGGAGCAUAUCUGAACCUAAUCCCAGCCUGGAGCCAAUCCUAGCUGACCUGCAGUCCAAAGGAGAGCCAACAUGCUGAGCCCAGCGGAGACAAGCCAAAUUUCAGUCAACCUGCAGGCCUGUAAACAUGGGCGUAAAUAUUUGGUAUGAUAAGCCACUGAAUUUCAGUGGUUUGUUAUGCUGUGUCAUUAGACAAUAACGAAUACACUCAGUUUUAGGAAAUAAAAGACUCAAAACCUUUUUCUGAUUGGUAAUAACCUUCUGAAGCUGUGACCCAAAUGCAAGAAAACGACCAUGCAACUUUUACUCUAUAGUAAAGAAGAGGCCGAGCGCGGUGGCUCAUGCCUGUAAUCCCAGCACUUUGGGAGGCUGAGGUGGGCAAAUCACGAGGUCAGGAUUUCCAGAUUAGCCUGACCAACAUGGUGAAACUCAAUCUCUACUAAAAAUACAGAAGAAUUAGCCAGGCGAGGUGCUGUGCGCCUGUAAUCCCAGUUACUCAGGAGGCUGAGGCAGGAGAAUCGCUUGAACCCAGGAGGCGGAGGUUACAGUGAGCCGAGAUUGUACCACUGCACUCCAGCCUGGGAGACAGAGCGAGACUCUGUCUCAAAAAAAAACGUGGAGAUUAUAAUUUAUUCUAAACAGCAACUGAUAAUAUAGAAGAAAACUUAAGUGUUUAGCUUCCCUUAGCCUCCAGUAGAGGCUACUUACCUUCAAGCCCCUGGUAGUGUUCUCUAGAAACUAGACCAUGGAAGUAUUCUUUCCAUUUAAGACUAUCAGUCUCUUUGCUGUUAGUUAAUUAGUGGUUAGAAUUAUUUUUGUUUCCUUUACAUCAGGAUAAUGCUGUUUGUACUCAGCCUCACUCAAGAAUGGAUAUGCCGUAUCAAGUAGAACAAAAGUCACCAGCAAGCUUUCCAUGCUUGAAAUGAAGCCGAGAGAGCUUUUGAAGAGCAUAUAUUUUGUAGGAAACUUAAUUUCCUAGGAAGGCUAAAAACUUGUUUUCUUUAUAGGAGCUAAAUGGCAUGGACAUACUUUGAGUACUGCAUAAAGGACUUUGCAAAGACACUCUUGGUAAUCAACAUAAAAAGAGAAAGGCCAAAUCUUUAAAACUUAAGCAAAAUGAGCAACAGCAUCAAGAUGAUAAGAAAUACAUGGUUUGCACAUCAUGGUGCAAAAAGUGUUUCUUGGUAGUGGUCAAGAUAGUGUGGACAUUAGGAAUGGGAAAACUACUCAUUGCUUGUUUGAGCAAAAACCUUAUCUCCCAAUAUAGAUAUGUAUUUAUUUGCCUGAAUCUAAAACAUUUAGAUCAUAGAAUUUCUGAAAAUAGCUGUAUAGAAACAGCUUCAUUCAUUUAAAACCACAUACAAGCAAUCCUAACAAUCUGCAGAAUGUUCCUAAGCUAUCACUGAAAGCAAAGAACUCUACCCCACAACUGGAUUUAUUGCCAUUUAUUUCAAAAUCCAAGGAAAAAAAGUCAAUUCACUACUUUAGAAAAUUAAGUUGGCCUCCCUGGCUUAUGUAAAUUUUCUCUUCAUUUCCUUAUUUCAUUUAUUGGACAAAUUAUUGCUCUUUGCUUUCUACUCCAAAGAAUUACACUAUAGGGACAACAAGAUGAACUGCCUCAACAAUAUUCCUAUAUGGAUAACUGUGCCAUUCUAAAUGUCCACUUGCUGCAUAUACUGAAACCACUUCUUGGGAAGUCUCUGAAGCACCUGAGUCAUUCAUCUUUCCUUGGGGCUGAUGGUGGGGGUGGGGAGGAGGGAGAUUUAUUAUCGGAAACAGAAGCCAAAAGUUAGCAGCCUCUAUUCAAGGUCACACCCAAAAUAACAACACCUGAUUCCAUGGCUGCAAAUGCUCUUUCCUUAGCCACCUGUAAAAAU
ensembl:lncRNA novel transcript, antisense to NRXN3